GCUCUGCAGCCACAGGAAGAACUGGCUCCCGCGAAACGACUAAGUGGAUGUCAGCAGCAAAGCAGCCUCUCCUCGCUCUCGAUGCAGCAUGAGAUUGGAUCUUCUUCUUCCUGGAAGUCUAGAUAAGUCACAUACUGUCAGUUCGUGUUCCAGGACAUGUCAUGCCAUAUAUUAUCCUGAUGACCUUAGAACCACCACAGAAUGCCGACAGGGCCAGAGAAGCAGUAUUUUCUAGAAGAAGUAGUUUCAGAAGUAACUUUAAAAACAAGGGAAGGAGACCCUGGAAGAAUUCUACCAUGAUUUCAACAGCUUCCACCCCACCAUCAACCUCAGCCUGGACCAAUCUACAUGGGAGGUCCACUUCCUAGAAACCACA